CAUUGGACAUAUCUAGUCCUUAGUCUACAGGAAGUGUAGCAUGGGUCAUUAUGCAAUGAGAAGUGUGUCUUGUGAGACUCUCUAUGGUGAUUCAAACACCCUAGUUCCUGGUUAAGGAAGAGAGCUAUCAUGAAAGAUGAUCGUUAUUAGACCAUGGAGAUGCAUAGGAUCAUCACAAGCUUAGCUCCUUCUAGUCUCGGUUCUAAGCUUGAGGGGGAGUCUUAAUGCAUAUGAUCCAUGGUCAGUAACAAGCCUUUUGCAAAAGCUUCUACAAGGAUCAUCAACCGGACCAAGUCAGUGGCGUGUCUAGGCAAGAGGCUGUUCAGAGCAGCCUUGGAGAGUGAGGAAGAAAGCUCUCCAUCAAUGCGGCUUCAAUGAGAGGUGAUUGAGGAGAAGCUGAUGAAUCCAUUCUGCCGUUCCAAGAAGUUGAUGAUGCCAUGAAGAUGGUGCAUUGGCCGAGUUAGGAAACUCACAAAAAC
rnacentral:lncRNA from 1 species